AAAAUUUUUAAUAAGUUGGAAGGAAAAUUCUAUUGCACAGCUAUACGACCGACCAGCUCGGCUAUGUUACAUGAUAGUGGGUGUUGAGCACUUGCAUGUGUUGCAGAGAGGUGGAUGAGUGAUCAUACUAGAUUAGAUAAAGUUCAUAAUGAGAAUAUUAGAGAAAAGAUAGAGGAGCUGUGCUAAUCGAGGAAAAGUUGAGAGAAGUGAGAUUGAGGUGGUAUGGUCAUGUGAAGGCGUUAGACAAGUAGAGCACGUUAAAAGUUAGAGCAUAGAAAAAAAAGAAGGGGUAGGCCUAAACUGACUUGGGGGAG
rnacentral:misc_RNA from 1 species